AGCGGCGGACGGGUGAGUAACGCGUGGGUAACCCGCCUCAUACAGGGGGAUAACAGUUAGAAAUGACUGCUAAUACCGCAUAAGACCACAGCACCGCAUGGUGCGGGGGUAAAAACUCCGGUGGUAUGAGAUGGACCCGCGUCUGAUUAGCUAGUUGGUAAGGUAACGGCUUACCAAGGCGACGAUCAGUAGCCGACCUGAGAGGGUGACCGGCCACAUUGGGACUGAGACACGGCCCAA
rnacentral:rRNA from 1 species